ensembl:snRNA U1 U1 spliceosomal RNA
AUACUUACCUGGCAGGGGAGAUGCCAUGAUCAAGAAGGUGGUUUUCCCAGGGCAAGGCUUAUCCAUUGCACUCCGGAUGUGCUGAUCCCUGCGUUUCCCCAAAUGUGGGAAACUUAACUGCAUAAUUUGUGGUAGUGGGGGACUGCGUUCGCCAUCUCCCC